GUGGAUGAGGCAUGCAAGUCGAACGAGAUAGCAGGGCAACUUGUUAUCUAGUGGCGGAUGGGUUAGUAAUACAUGAACAACUUGCCUUUAACCUGGGGAUAACGGCUGGAAACGGCCGCUAAUACCGAAUGCGGUGGCGAGGGGAAUCCCUUGUUUAUCAAAGUAGAGGACCGGGAAACCGGCUUUGCGGUUAAAGAGAGGUUCAUGCGAUAUCAGCUUGUUGGUGUGGUAAUGGCGCACCAAGGCUAAGACGUCUAGGCGGAUUGAGAGAUUG
rnacentral:rRNA from 1 species